rnacentral:tRNA from 1 species
GCCGGAGUGGUGGAAUUGGUAGACACAGGGGACUUAAAAUCCCCCGGCCCUCAAAGCUGUACCGGUUCAAGUCCGGUCUCCGGUA